UUAUUUGGCAUAUGUAUAGGUACAUAAUUAAAUAAAACUAUAAUUUGCUUUUAAUUUGAUUAUUAAGUUUUUUUAGAUACAACAUAUCGUAUAAACGCUAUUCCACUGUGACAGUUCCAGUCAGAAGAGUUGACACUUGCGUCUUGACAAUGACAACAAAUGGGAAGUUUGUUUUUAGUUUGUUUUUGUCGUUUUAAUUCAUUGUUUUCAUUUUAAUUUAGUUCAUUUUGCUUUUAAUACAGUUGUGAACACCUACAUUAAGUGCUAGUUGACUCUCACUUGAUGUCAUUAUGUAAAAAAACUAUACGUGAAAGAUUUUCCUACUAAUUUGGAAUACGAAGAAAAGGAUUCACAAUGCAGAUAAAAUUACUGUGUGUGCUGAGGUGACUUCGCGUGCACUGCAGCUACCCGCGUGACAAACCGCACGCUCGCUUACACCACCGAUGCCGUGCGGGCCUGGAGGACCUGAGGCUGGAGGUUCACUACCAGCAACGCCUAGCAAUGUAUCCCGCGCAUGUAGCGUGGAUGCGUGCGUCGCCUUCCACCACCGAAGGUGUUAUGAAUGAGGUGACAAAUAAGCUAAUAACAGUCAUCAAGGCGCUUAACCCGGUAAGAUCCAAUCAAAUAUUUAUUUCGAAUUUUGACCCAUCCUUACAUAAUUUUAAUGUGUGGUGUAAUGAGGUAGAACAUCUGCAAAAUAUUAACCGAUGGGACGACCGUGAAUGUUUAGCACGUAUAGGCCUUUGUCUAAAAGGUGAUGCUCGUAUCUGGCUUAAUGAGUGGACAACUAAUGAUCGCUCUUGGUCGAAUUUCAAACGAGAGUUCCAAUCAUUGUGCCCGCGUCGAGUAGAUAUUGCAAAUAUUCUUAUCGAAGUUCUAUAAACCGAUUCAGAUCAGUAUUUCACAUAUGCUGAAUAUGCUAGACGUUCGUUACUUAUUUAAGAAUUGUUCGGGGUUAAGUGAGGAACUAAUUUCUGCGAUUAUAGUGCGUGGCAUAACUGAGCCUCAAAUCCGGUCAGCUGUUAUGAAUAGGAAUUUGUUACCUAGUGAUAUAGUUAACUUUUUAUCAGUUUAUAUGAAACCUUAUUCGAAGGCACAGAUCAAAGCACGUUAUAAUAAUAAUCCUAACAAUAAAAACUAUU
rnacentral:misc_RNA from 1 species